ACUGGCGCACGUGAGGCUCUGUGUGACCGCAGCCCCGGGCCGUCUGCAGGGUCUCUGCUCUGAGUGGGAAGCACUAUCCUCUGGGCAGCGAAGAGUUAAGGGGCCGCGCUAAGGAAGUGUAGAGAAAGCUGCAUGUUCAUAUCGCUUGCUCCAGACUGUGCAAUUGCCCACUGGCUCACAUGCAGACGGGCACCGUUUGCGNUGAAGAGUUAAGGGGCUGCACUAAGGAAGUGUAGAGAAAGCUGCAUGUUCAUAUCGCUUGCUCCAGACUGUGCAAUUGCCCACUGGCUCACAUGCAGACGGGCACCGUUUGCGAAAUACUUCCCCUCCGCUAGCUCCGGCGGCCCAUGGAUGGAUUCAGUGUCCCUGCUCUGCUGACAGCCACUCAGCGGGAAGGCCCAGGGCCAGCCGGAGCAGAGGCCAGGAUGCGCCGGAGUCGGACAGCCCUGUCCUUCCUGAGCAUGGAGCGAUCCAGAGAUUCCCCGGACCUCGGCAGCUG
rnacentral:lncRNA from 1 species